rnacentral:lncRNA from 1 species
AGCUUUCUAAGGAGGCGGAACUGGACAGAGCUCCUGGACCAGGCAAAUAGGAGCAAAGUUUUCGCGGCAUUCAUGGAGAUGCCCCAGCCACAGAGCCCACGGAAGAUCAGAGACACUGGACUCACACCACGGAGGGUCGGAACUCUUCUGCUGUGAAUCCCACCCAGAGAACAGAAGAGGAAGGGAACACCUGAAGGUGGAGUGGGGCUCCCGGAGCUAAUCUCUUCCGGACUCAGGUCACUGCAACCAAGGGCGGAGUAACCCGGGUGAGGCCGCCAGCCGGGAGGCUGAGAGAAGGGGUGGCCCAGCGGUCCCGGCGCCCCUAGACCGGCCGUCCGCCCCUGCUGUGACUCCACGCUUUCUUGGAGCCGGAUUCUUGCAUAUCUGUGGCUGCUUUGAGCGUCUCCAGGCCAGCGGCUCGUACAGCCAAGCGUGAAUAAGAAUAAGGGAGAUACUUAGCGUGGGGCUAGAGAACGGCUUCGUGGCUAAGAAGAGUAUGCACUGCUCUUCUAGGGGACUUGAGUUUUAUUUCCAGCAACAACAUCAAGCUUCUCCCUGCUGUCUAGAACUCCUUUCUGAAACUUCUUAACUCACAGGUACAUGUACAGGACAUGAACACUAUUAAAAUUAAACA